rnacentral:rRNA from 1 species
AGAGUUUGAUCCUGGCUCAGGAUGAACGCUGGCGGCGUGCUUAACGCAUGCAAGUCGAACGCACUUUGUUUUUUGGAGUACUUGUACAAAGAAAGAGCGCUGGUUAGUGGCGGACGGGUGAGUAACACGUGGGUAAUUAACCUUCUAGACUGGGAUAACAACGGGAAACUGGUGCUAAUACCGGAUAAGAUUCAUUGGCGGCAUCGCCGAUGGAUGAAAAGAGGCCUCUCCAUGGAAGCUCCUGCUAGAAGACAAGCCCGCGGCUGAUUAGCUAGUUGGUGAGGUAAUGGCUCACCAAGGCGACGAUCAGUAGCCGGCCUGAGAGGGUGAACGGCCACACUGGGACUGAGACACGGCCCAGACUCCUACGGGAGGCAGCAGUGGGGAAUAUUGCGCAAUGGGGGAAACCCUGACGCAGCAACGCCGCGUGAAUGAAGAAGGCCUUCGGGUUGUAAAGUUCUGUCAAUUGGGAAGAAACCUCUGAGGUCAAUAGCCUUAGAGAUGACGGUACCUAAGAAGGAAGCUCCGGCUAACUACGUGCCAGCAGCCGCGGUAAUACGUAGGGAGCAAGCGUUAUCCGGAAUAACUGGGCGUAAAGGGUGUGUAGGCGGUUGCACACGUCAGAUGUGAAAUCCCCGGGCUUAACCUGGGAAUGGCAUUUGAUACGGUGCAGCUAGAGGUUGGUAGAGGGUAGUGGAAUUGCGAGUGUAGAGGUGAAAUUCGUAGAGAUUCGCAGGAACACCGGUGGCGAAGGCGGCUACCUGGGCCAAAACUGACGCUGAGGCACGAAAGCGUGGGGAGCAAACAGGAUUAGAUACCCUGGUAGUCCACGCCGUAAACGAUGAGUGCUAGAUGUUGUGUGUUAACGCACGCAGAGUCGGAGCUAACGCAUUAAGCACUCCGCCUGGGGAGUACGGUCGCAAGAUUAAAACUCAAAGGAAUUGACGG